UAAGUCUGCUGUUUGGACUGGAAAGCCCUUGUGCUUCCGUUAGCUCUCCAACGGUUACCCAGCGCGCAGCGGUUGGAGAAGCCUCUGAGUAACGCACAGACAAGCGGGAAGAGGAGGCACGCACUGAGCGUUGUUGAUGAUGAAGAUGGUGAUGAUGCCAGGUCAUCAGCUUUCCAGAAUCCUCUUGGAGACGGUGGUGAUAGUUCCAGGUUGGUGACGUAGGUGCACCUGCGCAUAAAACGUGGUUGUGAUCAUGCCUGGAACGCUUUGGUGCAGCUCAGGAAACAAGGUGGCAACCUAUGAGAAUUUAGGUGUAUUUGCACAGACAGUCUUUGCUGCAAGGAGCAUGACCAGUGUCAGGACACCAUCCUGUCAUUCGAGGCCAACUACGGAGCCUUCAUCAAAAUCAUCUUCACCCUGUCCCACUGUGACUGUGACAACAGACAGUCUGAGGGUCUGGUUCAACAGAAGGAAUUGUCUGGGGUUCAGUCUGCACACAGGGACAAGGCCAGUGCACUACACACUCG